AGAUGUUAUACUUCACAGUAAGGGCUAGUUUCUAAACAUGAAAGAACACAUAGCUUAUGUAACAUGACAUUUGUUGGAGAAUAUGCCCUAGAAAAUCAUGAUAUCACAGAUAUAUACUAAAUAUCUGAAGGAGAUUACGGAGAAAACAUUUCCAGCGGAGGAGUUCUUUAAUAUAGACAGAGCUUGUUUCAGAAUUGGUAUCUUCCUGAAUAUUUGGCUGCUUGGAAAAAGUUACAUUGGUGCCGGGAUUCAGCCCUUGCCUGGACAGAGGUGGCCGCUAGAGUCAUCAGCAUGGACACUGGCACCAGUGACUACAUAGGUCCCAGGAUCGUAGCCAGCCACCUCGGGUGCCUCCGGAGACCACUUGAGAAGUGCAGAGACUGUGGGCCAGCCCCUCAUUCUUGUCUGAGACAGUGAUGCCCUCCCCACUCAGUAAUUAUGCACAGCUAGCAGAGGUCUGAAAUGAAUGGCUUCAUUUAAUCACAAAAGAAGGAAUACCAGCAAGACCACCCAGGCCCCAGCUCCGGUUUUUCCUGAAGAAUUUGGCCGCAUCUCCCUUUUUGAAGGCAGAGUUUCAUCUUGCUCCAGGGAGAAGCAACUUCCUGGGCAUGCGUGUUAAGAGACAAAAAAUGAUGACGUUUGAUGACCACUCCACCAGAAAAGGGAAGAAAGCCUGAGGGGCCUGCGUGGACCUCCCUAAACACACUGCGCAUGCUCCAUUCCAAACGGUAUGGCGAGCACUGCGCAUGCGGGAAACCCACCCUGUAAGGGAAGAAUCCUGGGAAAGAGGCAAGCCUAUGAAGUCCCAGGAUCAAGGUUAAAGACCCUCUUUUUUACUGUCUUCUUGUGCUCUCUUUUCUCUCUUGGACCUUCAGGCGCCUGCUUGGGUCUCUUUCAAGCGAAUUUUGCUUUCUUUCCUGUUCUAAAGCCUUUUAACUAAACUUCCACUCCUGCUCUGAAACUUGCUCUCUUUUUCUGCCUUAACGCCCCUCAGUCGAAUUCUUUCUUCUGAGGAGGCAAGGACUGAAGUUGCUGUGGACCCAUAGGGAUUCGCCAUUGGUAACUCGGGGUAACUCGGCUCUCUUCCACUGCUGACGUAUGUAGCAAGUCCUGUCUUCGGGUUGGCAGGCACCACGGCUGACACCACAUGCGCAGAGAGAGGGGAAAGACCAAGAAGUGACUCAUGACAUCACCCUCGUCUCUGAAAGACAAGAUGUUGGUCUCCUCAGGUGCCGUGCAGUCUUCAGUGUUGGCUGCAGCCACAGCCCCUGCAAUGCAGACCAGGAUGAGGGAAAGCCGCUGGAAGAGGCCUACAGCAUUUUUUAUUAGUAAAUCCAGAGGACGUGUUAUAUAAAGUGUAAGACAACCACCAUCUUUCGAAGAAUUUUGUAACUAGCCAGAAGGGUUUUUGAAGGCGUCUCUCAUAAGAUGGCAUUUGAGCAGAGACCUGAGGAAGUGAAAGAUGGAGGGCUGAAGCUUCCAGUUAGAGGAACAAGCAAAGACCCCGAGCAGGAUCAGGUUUGAUGUCUUCAAGUAAUAUCCAGGAUGGGAUGAAGCUGCAGGGGAGUGAGCAAGGUGUAGACAGGUAGAAGGUGAGGUUGGAGGAGUGGGUGGACGGGGAGGAAUCAUCCCACAGGGCCUUGUACGCACUGCAAAAACUUUAGUCUUUUGCUCUAAGAAAUUAAGUCCGUUAAUUAAAAACAAAUGAACAGAAACAAAGUGUGGUAGAGACAUAAUCAAAGAUUCAGACAAAGAUAUAACUACAGAAUGCACAUGACGGUUUUGUUAAUACACCAAAAGGAAAAAAAUUAAAUAACGGACUCUCCCAAUAAAUUGUGACCAUCUAUAGUUUGGAAUAACAUGAAGAUUGUUAAAAACUAUGUUUACAAGAAUGGCAAUAACAGAGAAACACUUGCUAUAUAAUUUUCACAAUAACAAGGUGAAGAAAUAUUAUAUAUAUAUAUAAUAAAAUUCAAAUUUUUAAGAGAAAUUAAAAUGUAUAGAAAACAUUGGAAAAGGAUACACUUAAUAAUCUUUUUUUCAGCAUGGUAGAAUUGUGGGUGAUUUUUGUUCCCUUUAUAUUUUUUAAUACUUUGUACUUUUUAAUGACAAAUGUAUAUACUACCAUUUAAUGAUAAAAAUAUAUUUUUAAAAUACUGGAUAAGAAUUAUUCAAAUAAAUGCCUUAUUUAAAAGUUAAAU
rnacentral:lncRNA from 1 species